rnacentral:rRNA from 1 species
AUGCCGGCUGGCCGCUACGACGGGAACGUGUCCCUCGCCAGCGAGACCCUCCCCAACCUGCCCCCUCCCUUCACGAACAUCACUGUCCUUGAGGAUAUGUUCAGGGUCAAGGGGCUCAGCCUCGAGGACAUGGUCACCCUCUCGGGCGCCCACACGGUCGGGAUCUCCCACUGCUCGUCCUUCCGUGACCGCCUCCCCCCAAACCCCUCAUCGAUGGAUCCAACUUUAGCUGCAUCCCUGCAGGGGCAGUGCAGCCGCGGCGACGACCCCACUGUGGUUCAGGAUCCCAAGACUCCCGAUGACCUGGACAACCAAUACUAUGACAACGUGCAGAAACGCAAGGUGUUGUUCAAGUCAGAUGCCGCGCUCAUGUCAUCUGAUACGACAUCGAGAUUGGUGGACAAUCACGCCAAGGACCUGCGGGAGUGGUUGAAGCAAUUCAAGGCGGCUAUGGUGAAAAUGGGCAGCAUCGAGGUGAAGACCGAGGCCAACGGGCAGAUCCGAAAGCACUACCAGUUUGUCAAUUAA